rnacentral:rRNA from 1 species
GACAGAGGGUGCAAACGUGUUCGGAUUUACUGGGCGUAAAGCGCGUGUAGGCGGCUUUGCAAGUCGGAUGUGAAAGCCCACGGCUCAAACCGUGGAAGUGCAUCCGAAACUGCAUGGCUGGAGUCUCGGAGAGGAAGGUGGAAUGCUUGGUGGUAGAGGUGAAAUUCGUAGAUAUCAAGCAGAACACCUGCGGCGAAGGCGGCCUUCUGGACGAUGACUGACGCUGAGACGCGAAAGCGUGGGGAGCAAACAGG